rnacentral:rRNA from 1 species
GGGCCCGCACAAGCGGUGGAGCAUGUGGUUUAAUUCGAUGAUACGCGAGGAACCUUACCAGGGCUUAAAUGGGAAAUGACAGGGGCAGAGACGCCCCCUUCUUCGGACAUUUUUCAAGGUGCUGCAUGGUUGUCGUCAGCUCGUGCCGUGAGGUGUCAGGUUAAGUCCUAUAACGAGCGCAACCCCUACCGUUAGUUGCCAGCGUGUAAUGACGGGGACUCUAACGGAACUGCCGGUGCAAACCGUGAGGAAGGUGGGGACGACGUCAAAUCAUCACGGCCCUUACGUCCUGGGCCACACACGUGCUACAAUGGGAAGGACAAAGAGCCGCGAAGCCGCGAGGUGUAGCUAAUCUCUUAAAGCUUGUCUCAGUUCGGAUAGGAGUCUGCAACUCGACUCCUUGAAGUUGGAGUC